rnacentral:lncRNA from 1 species
CGAAUAACAACUUUUCUUUUGUAAUAAUAAUUAUCUCUGGGUUGGCGGCUGUUUAGGAAAGUUAUCGUGUGGUUUUCUAGUCAAAUGAGAUUUAUGGAUUUUAGGUCAGAGGUCAAGUACCAUCUUUCCAUAUUCACCGUCCGAUGCUUUGUUUUUGGGACCCAUUCGGAUAUAUGAGUGGUGAUCCGAAAUACACGGAAUUUAUUUUAAUUUUGGGUCAGGUUUGAGAUCUGUUGUGAAUUAGUUGCCUUGUUUGACCAGGACCUUUCUUAUAAGGCCACUUUACCCUUCUUUCCUUUCCUAUAAUAUGGCGGAUUGAGCAAGCCGUCCACAACUUUCCUUCCUUUUUCUUUCUUCUUCUUUCUUUUCUUUUUCUUUUUCAUUUUUGAAACACCAUUAUUUUGUUCAUAAUUUGCUUGAUGUCCUUUUCCACAAUUGGUUUACAAUCCACUUUCGUAUUUUGAGACCAAUUACUAGUACUACCACAAAAUAUAAUUGAAAUUUAUUUGAAAUUCUUUGAUAGUGCUUUCAUCCACUUAUCCAUGCCUGCUCAACCUCACAUUAAGUUAAGUUAAGGACUUCUAAACAUAUCUAAUUCAACCAUUAAGUUUGGACAUGAAUGAGUUAUGAUUCCUUUUAUUAUCGUAAGAAUUCUCGCUAAUGCUCUAAGGGAGAAUAAUCCUGAUUCUUUGAGUAUGCUGCGACUUUACUAACUUUUUCAUUACAAUCUCUAAAGAUUCCUCCUAUUUGUUAUUUGGGUUUGGGAUAGGUUUUUGAAGUCAUAGGUUUUUUUUGUCAUUCCAAAUAGCCCAACAAGCAAUAAUUGCUAUAAUGUUUUCCUCAUUGUUAUUGUAGGUUGAGCUAAUGGAUCCAACGCCAUCUAUCUUUGAAGCAAUUGUUGGCCUAAACGCCUAAUUUUGGAAGAUGAUAUUUUUAAAACGCAAGUCUAGUAGACUUAGUAAGGUUGUAUGAAACCCUUUUUUUAAUAUUUUUUUCAUUCACAUCAAUUACAUCAAAUCACUUCAUCUUGCAUAAACCUUUAUUUAUGCUUAACAAACACAUUUAUAACAUAACAAAUUUACAUAUACACACAUUAGUUAGUAGUUAUUCCUUUCACCAAGGAUCUCGAAUCGUUCUCUACGUUUGGUCUCAUUAUCUCGCGUUUGACUACUGUAUCAACAACAUUCGAGAACAUACAGAUUUGUUCUUGUUAUUCAGACUGAUUUGUUCUUGUUAUUCAGACUGUUAAGCUUUAUGCGAUGUUAAGCUUUAUGCGCUUUUUUCAACACAUAAGCCAACUUCUUAUUAUCACCAUGUAGUCCGUACACUCCAUGGUGGCCUUGAUUUUUUAUGUGCACAUAAAAGUUAGCAUCAUCUCAAGGAAUCAACUAAUGGUUUGAAAAACAUUUCAUAGCAUUGAAAUCGUAAUCAUCAAAUCAAGUUUUAAUAUUAUAAAUCAUGCUGAACAAAUAUAAGCUUUACAUAGAAAUCUCUUUUUGAAACAUUUUCUCAUUCGAAAUCAUCUUUCAAAAUAGUAAAGCAGAAUCACAAAACUUUUAAGAAGAAAACCACUCACCACACUUUAACAAAAAUCCUCAUCUUCCUUCUAUUCUUGUGGAGCCUUCUCGCGGAACAAAUUGUCAUACUUAACACUUUGUUUUUCUUCUUCUCGCCAAAGACAAACAUCAACAUUUUACUAAAAUCUUUUAUGCUUACUUAAUGACCAAGUCCUCUAUUUAUAGAGUCUUUAAACUAUCUUAGUCAUGCUUAAACUCUUCUCAGUUUUCCAGCUCAUGCUUAAAACUUUAAACAUAUAAAUUUAAUACUCAACUCAGUCAUGCUUAACUUCUUAAUCUUACACGUUAACCCUUGUCAAAUCAAAUUUGACAUUUUCUUCGCCACACCUUCUCGCCUAACCCAUACCGCAAAUAAUUUUAACCACUUAACACCUCUCGCGUGGUUAUAUUUUUACUACAAGAAACCUUUCUUGCAAACUAGCCAACUUUUACUCGCUUAGAACACUUAUCGCGAACUUAAACUUCAAGGCUUUCUCACAGACUUCUUCAUUGUGAAACCCUUGGUUCUUAUCACGAAGACUACCCAAACGCCUAGUCAUUUUAGUUAAAACUUCAUAACUUAUUUAUUUUGAGAGCGUUUAGACUUUUAAAUUCUACUGCAACAAAAAUUCCUCGCAAAUUAACUUCUUAGUCACGGAAUUUAUUCUUAACCAUAAAAGAUUUUAUCGCUUAAUCCUUUUUGCGGAUUUACUCAAACGCCAACUUCUUUAAGACUUAGUCGAAUUUUACUUCUUAUACUCAAAUUUAAAAAAAUGGGUCUUACAGAUCGUAUUGAUAUUAGUAAAUUGUGAGUUUCAGAUUUAGUCUCAUGUAUCUGGUAUUCUAGUUUAAGUUACAGACUUACGCGAUUAAGAUAUACAAGUGGGAUUCAUAUUGCAAGCCUUUUACAUGGUGAGUGGGAUUCAUAUUGCAUGCCUUUUACAUGGUGAGACAUGGUUAAUGCAUGUGAGAUGCUCAUUAUGUCUCUGCUCCUUGCAUAAUUACUAAAUCCUCGCGUAAUACAAGUUUACCUAUUGUUUGUCCAAGUGUAAGUGAAACAAUAAGUUUCCUGGGUAAUCCAAGGUCAAACACAUAAAAUUGAUAUCAGUUCUAAGGUUUACUCUUCAUGUAAGAAGUAUACAAUAAAUAUCUAUAUAGUAAAGUAAAUGUAUGAAUCUAAGCUAAAUCUACUAUCUACACUAGAGAAUCUAUAAAAAGAGAUACGAAUGGAGAAGAGGUGAAUAAGUGAACUAACUUCUGUGAAGAAAUGGUGAAGGAAAGUCUCCGCGUUAUUAGGCGAUUAAGCCAUGUGGUAGCCUCACAUGAUAGAGCUUAAUCAACUAGUUUAUGAUUAAGGUGAGCACCUCUUAGUGCUUUAAACACAACACUUGCUCACCUCUUAAGAUGCAAAUGAUAAACUUUGGUUAAGCGAUAUUUAUCUAAAAACAUUUACUUACAAGACUUAUAGUUCUUCUCUUUUAAGGGUGACAAUCUCUCGUCAAGUACCCACAUUUGGUCUCCUUCUGAGACACACGUGAUGAAAAUUAUCUCGUGAAGGUGGAUUUUAUCUUGAAACUCCUCCCUACGCGUUUUAGCCAUGUCCUUGUUACUUACUUUCUUGAGCAGUUGACAAUAUAUACUGGUCAAGUGAUGAUUAUAGCUCAACUAAUGCGAUAAAUGUUAUAAGCUAAACUUCUUAUCAAGAACUUACCACAGACAUAAACUAUAGAUAACACAUAGACAGAUGACAGUAAAUGAAUGUUGGAUUGAAAAGAUAUCAACAUGUAAGAUAUUAAAUAAUGUAAGCCUUAGACCACUGUACGAUAUGAACAACAUAUAUUACAAAGAAAUACAAAAAUGGAAAGUAGAGAAAAGAAAUAUUACAAGUUAGUGGAAGGGAAAUGGUGGAAUAUUCUCUAUUCUAACUUUAAGAUUUCACUUACAAACUGACAGAGGAAGAAGAAGAAUAUGCUUUACAGAAGACGGAAAGGCUACUCCUUUCCACCACUCUCUAGGAUUUGGCCCAUUCAGGCACACUCUUCUGGGUAGAGGUGGAGUCCUUUUAUAGUCAACUUUCUGCAGGAAACUUCUAUUCUCUGAUCAUGUCAGCGUCGAUUGCAGCCUUGUCACGUCACAUCAACUCCAACUAUCAUUCUUCUGUUUUAGUGAACCUUCCUAGCGUGAUGAUGUAGUUUCUCACAUAGCGAUUGUACUUGCCAGACAAGGUUCUUCUCGAGUAAUCCAUGUGUGCAUUCCUCUGUGAUUCACUAUUCUUCUUUUAUCUAUAAUCCUCCAUUAAAACUUUGAAAAUCAUAUUAAAAAAAGGCUUGGAGACUUAUGUAAGAUGUAUUUCCUAAUAGUUAUGAAUUUGGAUUAGGAGCUACGUAUUUUGCACAA